rnacentral:rRNA from 1 species
UACGUAGGGUGCAAGCGUUGUCCGGAAUUAUUGGGCGUAAAGAGCUCGUAGGCGGUCUGUCGCGUCGGCUGUGAAAACCCGGAGCUCAACUCCGGGCCUGCAGUCGAUACGGGCAGACUGGAGUUCGGCAGGGGAGACUGGAAUUCCUGGUGUAGCGGUGAAAUGCGCAGAUAUCAGGAGGAACACCGGUGGCGAAGGCGGGUCUCUGG